CUAGAUCGGUGAAAUUCUCCACCAACCCGCUGCUUCCCUCCUCACCAAUACCCGCCUCCUCCCUCCUGCCCAAUCUGCUUCCUCCGCAAACCUAGAGCAUGUGGAGGCCGACGCCGGGGUCAAAGCCGAAGCAGCAGAGCAGCAACUUGGAGGUGCCGGGUGAGAGGAGGUGCUGCAAGAGCACGCCCCGGAGGAGGCCGGCAGCGCGGGUGGCGAGGGAAACCGUCUCCUCUCUCUGUCGUCUCCGCCUCCCCACUCCUGCUCCGAGCCGCCCCCGCUCGUCUCCUCUGUCCCGCUCCGUGAGCCGCUCUCCCUGCUCCAGGGAGCAGCGCCCGAACGACCGCGGCGGCUGGACGCAGGGCCGGUGGCGGCAGGGAGCGUGCUGAGCGGCGGCGGCUGGGAGCAUGCUGAGCGGCGGCGGUGGCUUGGGGUGGACAAGGUUUGAGGUGGUUUUGGAGGUGCAGCAGGCGGAGGGAUCUUGAGGGGCAGCGCCAGUUCGGAUCUUUGGAGAGAAGUGGAGGCGCAGCAAUAGGCGGCUCUGGGCUGGCUCUGGUGUAGACGCUGGGUGGAGGAAGGCUUGGGGCGGUGCUGGGUGGAGGAGAAGCUGCAGCCAUGGGAGGAUUGGUUUCUGCUCCCCUUCCUCUCUCCCUACUUCCCAUCCAAUGAUUUCUGGUGAAUGAUGAUGGCUGCCUGCGACCUCAUCUGAUGGAAAACGGUCGAUGCCGAGCGACUAGCAGCAGGUAUGAGCUCGUAUUUGUCUUGGACUGCCGGCGUUUGCGAAAUUAGAGCAAGUAGCGGGUCCCUGACCUAUGCCCAUGGAUCGGGAAAGCUGGUCCAAAAUCUAUCCUAACCCUACUUUUCUCUUCUACGACCUGACAUGGGAAUUGAUUGGCGGUUGUCGGCGGCCGAUACCAAGGCUGCUAGCGCCGGUGGAGAAAACGACCAAGCGGAGGGCACCAAAGCUGACCUGAUAUGCCACAGAAUUCGUUAUGCAAUUUCUCCUCUCCAGAUUUUCCAAUUGUGCAUGGCCUAAAAGAAAUGUACAAGGUGUUCUAGCCUAGCAGCUGGGCCGAUUGAACCGGCAUCCGAAUAACACAACGUAUGAGAAUAUGAAUAUUCGUCCAGAAAUUAAGAACACCAAAGAAGUGAUCUGUGGAGUGGUCGUGGACGAAGGAGCAAGGGCUUCACAUGGCGCCCCUCCUCCAGCUCUCCAAAUUGAAUCGGCCAAGCCACGCGUACGGCAAGAGGAGGCGCCACAGCGUGGUGGUGAGGCAUGGCGCGCCGGAGUUGUGCCCAGGUGGACUGCGCACGAGCGAAGUCGCUGGCCUCUGCACGGGUCCAGUGCAUGAGUGCGUACGAGGAGCGGCGCAAGCAAUCUUGAUGAGGCACACGGCAGAAGGUUUGUUGCAGCACUGCCGGACAUCGAGGUAGUUCACACAUAUAGCAGCCCGAAGGGAGGAGGAAGGAUAAGUUGAUGUGCUUCAACCGUGGAGGUGGGCGCUGGCUCGGUGCCUGGAUGGCAUCGAUGGCGUGGAGGUGAACCUUGACCGACAACGACGAAGUAGCCUGAAGGUAAUUUUUCAAUCAUGGCGACGGUGGUGGCAACGAUAGAGAGGGCCGCCUGCCACCAUGGACUGCUGUGGAUGGAGCUUUUUUCCUUGGGAUGGUGCGGCUGCUUACACCGUGGGAUAGGAAUACUACUUUUCAGUUCAUUUUUUUAGGGGAACCUGCAGAAAGUUGGCAUAUAAUGGGGAGGAUGUUUAAAUGCGUAUUUCCUCAAUCAUUCAAUGAAAUAAUUCUUGUUUUUGGAUGCAAAGUUAGCAAUGUAUAAUGCGUACCGUUUACAGAAAGCAACUGAGUUUGUUUUGAAAAUAAAACUUGUACACAGUACCCGCUAAAUGGUUUCGAUGCUUGAAUAUUUUCUUCUGCUGAUUCCCAAUUCUAGAAUGCUCUUACUUUUCAUGUGGAUGGAAAUUUUGUGUUUCCAUGUUUAUUCAAUAGUCACUCUUCUUUAUCUUCAAAUACAGAAGAAUUUCCUGGACAUACCAUGUGUCUUAUUCAGGUUGCAGUUUCUGUGCAAAGGAAUGCCCUCAGAAUUGAUGUCUUCUACACAGUGUGACUUUCUAAGCAGACCUAGAUACUGAGGAAGUGUAUGCAUAGAUGACUCUUCAGCCAGUAAAUACAUAUGAAAAGAAGCACUCCAGCUGUCAGAGCUUGCACGAAAGCGAGGCCACAAGUGCAGUUCUCACUGCGAGUGAUGCAAGCACACAUGGAGGCUUCUCCGUGCCUUGCCGUAUUGCGGAGAAGAUAUCCCUGUCCUGAGCACAAAUGAAAUUCUUCUGUAAGACGCUCACCGUGAGUGACGCAAGCACAAAUGGAGGCUCCUCCAUGCUUCGCCAUGUUACAGAGAAGAUAUUCCAUGCUCUGAUAAGACGCAUGAGGUUUCCAAGUCUUUUACACAAUAAAAAUCGUUUACCAUUUUCAGGGUACCAUUUUAAUUUCAUUAUUCUGUGCUUUAGUACUUCUCUUUGCAGCCUCCUGUCAAGAAAACUCUUUUAAUGUAAAUAUGUGCAGCUCUAAAUAUACAGCACACAAGUUAAAUGGGAUUUCAUCUUAAUAUGUGUAGUUCUAAUGUUCUAAGGAGUAACUAUUUUCUUUCAGUUUGUCUACUCAUCAGGUUUAAAUGCGAUUCAAAUAUGUACAGUAUAUGUACUCACAUGGAAAAGAAAGCUCUCUUUAUUAUUUCUCCAUUUGUAUCCUUCGUGCCAAAUAUCAUGAUUUUCUAUUCAUCCUUGAUCCUAACUGUUGAAUUCUUAUUUUUGUACUGCACACUUGGCAUACUGAACUUGUUUCUCGAAAAUAUGGUAUUUGGUUUCUUGUUUUGCUGGGUGUUCCUUUUCAGAAGUUUCGUGCUGAUUUAUUUUUUUAGUCAAAACUAAAAUUUUGUUCUGCUGGUUCAUGAUAGUUUGAGGGUUCAAUACAGAUUACAAGGAAUUUCGAAAUGAUAUAAUGAGGCUUAAGCUAGGGCAUGCAGACCAUCUUUACCACUGAAUCUUUGCUUGGGAGAUAUCAAAUGAACUUACCCAAUUUCCUUUUUAUUAACAAAUUACCUAAUUAUAUUUAUACUAAUUGGCACACAUCUGAUAUAUAUCCUGAAGAUCUGUAAGCCUACCACAAAGAUAAUGUGCCGCAUUCCUGCACCAACGUCCAACUGUGGCAAGCAGAUUGUGUACAGUGUGCCUUGUACAGUUGUACUUUUUACUCUUUUGGUCCUGGCCUGAACUGAUGGUGGUUCCUCUCUCCUUGUUUCCGUUCAUGGUAAAAAUGAUAGUUAUUUUAGAUUGCGACUUCUUUUUGUGUUGAUUCUGAUCACUUGGACUUGGGCGUCUUAAACAUGCUAAAAAAUUGUGUUAUCAGGGCUAAGGUGUCAAUACCCGCCUAUAAGAGUAGUGUAGGUAUUGUUUGCUUGUUCUUUAAGCUUUAGACACUUCACACAUGUGGUAUUAACUUAGUAAGGGUUGCAUGAAUUCUUUUAGACAGAUUGAAGAUGCUUCACUGUGCUUUUUUAGGAUGGCAGCUGGUUGCUGAAUUUAGUAGCCAAAAUAGGUUUGUAUUUUUCUCUUUUAGUGUAAUAUACAUGUGUUCUUUUGGUUUCAGUGGUUCAUUAAGGUCAGUGUCCAUUAUUUUGUUGAGAACAAACAGUAGGUGCGCAUCAUAUUGAUCACAGGGCCCAUCAAUGUACAAGGGAACUUGAGAAGCUGGUUGAGGCGACUCCUAGACAACAGAAUCAGGCUAAGCUUGCCCGUGUAACCUAAGCUUAUCCUAUCUUAUCAGGUUUCCACAAUGUUGUUGAUUGCUCAGUAGAAGCGCUCAAUAUUGUUAUUUUUAAAUGUAGCUAGACUAGGCCUCCUAGAGUCGUUACAUUACCAUUUUUUUCACCUCAUACAAUAAUUUAUAAUAUUUCUACUUAUCUCAUAGGUCCUAAUUUUGAUUUGAAACUGAUGCUCGCUGUCCUAAUUCCCCGCGUCUGAGUCCAUCCACAUUAGUCUGCUUUGUAGAGAAUAUAUUAGCGAUUUUUUCCUUAUCACUAACUUUACUUAUCAUAUUCAGCCAUAUCAGCCAGUGAGUUUGAUAUACAAGAAUAAAGAGAAGGUUUAGGUAUAGUCUUGCAGUAAAGGUCAACUACGAGAUCAAUCUGUAGCUAAAUAACUAGAUAACCUUCAAUUUACAACACUUCUAAUAAUUACAUACAUAGUUUCCAUCUGAGGCCAUGGUUGCUGCUGACGCCACCUGCUGGCAUUGUUAGCAGCAAAGUGACAUCUCAUGAGGACUAUGUACCAGAUAGUGAUAUAGACAUGGUUAUAGCCAUGGUGCAGGAGUGCUCAGUCCACGCAGAUAACUAUGAUGCCGAGCAGUGCCGCAAGAGUGGAAUUCAACAGCAGCCAAUUCCACCAAGGCAUCGACAAUGAGAAUAAGGACUGCGCGCGUGACGAGGAAUGGCAGAAUAUAGCGCAGGAGCAGGCGCAUAUCAUAAUCGAAGUCAGUUCCAACAGCGAGUGAAGCUUGCCAUCACCCUUAGGAUCCAGUAGACACAUGCCGACACCAGGUUUUGGUAAAUUUAGGGUCGCCGGCACCAACAUACGAUAGCUUUUGCGUUUGCGUCCUUUUGACUUGAUGUAGUCGACAUCCUCUGGAGGAAAGUUCAAACUUAUGUUCAAACGUGUAUUGUACAGCCUACUUAACUCGCUAGCUUUUGUAAUGUUAAUAUAUGCUACGCCUGGCACCUUAUCUACUUUAUGGGUAGCAAGAUAUAGUCAUGCCCCUCCUUGGCAUA